UGAAACAUAAGUUCUCGUCCGAUCACCGUAGUUAAGCAAAAUUAAGCCUGGUUAGUAUCUAGAUGGGUGACAGCUUGGGAAUACCAGGU